GCGUGCUCGUUCCGAGGCGGCAACGAGCGGGCGUGCAGGCGAGCGCGGCUGACCGCCGUGGAGUUUUCGCUGCGGGCUUUCGGUGCGCCGCGCUUGCCUCUGCUCUUCGGUCCGGUACUUCUGUCACGUCUGAUGUUCAAGCGCCUGUGUCGGCAGCCCGGCCCUGACUUCCGGCGUUCGCUCGUUCCGCGAGCGGGGGAACCUUCAAAAUCGGGGGCGAAAGGCGAGAGAGUGAGCGCGGGCAGGCGUCUCCCGCGCCGCGCUGCUAUGGGAAGAGCCCUGAGUACGGAGGAAGGAAGGCAGACAGGACAGACAGGCAGAGGGAAGAGGGCGGCGCGGGGCCGGUGUGCCGGGCGGCCGGGCAGCGUCGGACGCAGAAGGGCUGGGGCGUCCCUGGCGGGUCCCGCCGAGGGAAGCUAUAGCGGGGGACCUGGAGCCUCGCUUUGUCGCAGCGGCGCCGCGCGUUCUCCUUUCGCACCGGCUUCACUCGCACGCGGAGCCCCGACCCGAUCCACCGUGGCGCCUCCUCGGGCGCGUCGGAGGCUUCCCGCGGGCCGGCUCAAUCCCGCCUGUCGUUCGGGGCGGCGUGGGCGGCCGGUGUUCAGGCAAUGGCGAGCACCCGGCGGACGCUGCCCACGCACACCCACACGCACGUGCGCGUGCGGUCUUUCCGCCGCGCCUGGGUGGAAGGGCUCGUGCCUUCCCCCCACCGUCCUCCUCUUCACUCACCGCACCCUUACCCUCCCGUCCCUCCCCUGCUCCCCUCUCUUUCCGUCGAUCGAUGAGGCCAUUCGGGUCGCGUCGGGUGAGGGUUCCCGGCGUUUCUGCCCCCGUCCCGGGGAAGCCGCUGCGGCGUCCGGUGUUCAGGCACGGGCGGUCUCCUCUCCGGUUCGUCUCCCCGUCACGCGAGGUGAGGUGGCUCUCCGGGCUCGCCCGCAGUGGGCUGAGAGCUCGCCUGACUGAGCCCGGCAGUGUGACGGCCGAGAGCGGCCCCCGCGAGCCGCAGGAGUACCCAGUGAGUCGUGAGCGAGGGCGCCGCGCUGACCCCUGUUCGGGACUCCGGCGAGCGCCGGCCGCGAGCAGCAAGGCGGCGGGGUGUCAAACGAGGGAAACCGUCCGUUCGUGGGCGAGGCGAGGGCUGUGGUGCCAAGGGCCGGGGCGUCCGCCGGCCUCCUCCGCCCCCCGGGCCGCCGGGUCCGCGUGGUACCUGACGUUCUGCCCGGGCUGCGGAGCGUGCCGCCUCGGGAAAGGGUCUCCGGUGUUAGGCGGCGUCCGCCUGAGGAGGUCAAGCCUUCUCCUCUAGCGUCCGCUGUCUCGGGCGGCGGGGCCUGCUUCCGCCUCGCCCGCCGGCGUCCCGGAGGGCGGUCAGCCCCGGCCGGUGCCGUGCCGUGCCGUGCCGCGCGCCCGGCUCCCGCGGCGUGAGCCCGGAGCGCGCCGCCGGCGAAAAGGCGCGCGACGACGCGAGCUGCGCAGCGGCGCCCGCUCCUUCCCCGCGUGGGGGAGGCGCGCGGGUCCGCCUUCGGGGAGCGGGCGCGCCUCUCCCGCCGCCGGUCCGCCCGCGCGAGCGAGCGUGUGAGCGACGCGGAGGGCCGCCCUCCCCGCCGAGAGGCGUUCGCCCCGUCGGCCGCCGCCGUCGACCCGCGAAGGGAAGGACGUUAGGGGCGAGGCGUCGAAGCCGAGCCCCGCGGGCCGAGCGAGUCGGACCCGAGGGCGAGAGAGAGAACGGUUGAGCGGUCGUCGGCGGGUCGGGCGCGUCGGGUCGUCGCCCUUUGGCGCGGC
rnacentral:misc_RNA from 1 species